GGUCUCUGUGUUGGGCAUCUGUCUGCCCGCAUGCCUGCCUCUUUGUUGCUCUGAAGGAGGCAGGGGCUGGGCCUGCAGCUGCCUGCGCAGAGCUG
ensembl:miRNA MIR346 microRNA 346